rnacentral:rRNA from 1 species
UACGGGGGGGGCAAGCGUUGUUCGGAAUUACUGGGCGUAAAGGGCUCGUAGGUGGCCAACUAAGUCGGACGUGAAAUCCCUCAGCUUAACUGGGGAACUGCGUCCGAUACUGGAUGGCUCGAGUUUGGGAGAGGGAUGCGGAAUUCCAGGUGUAGCGAUGAAAUGCGUAGAUAUCUGGAGGAACACCGGUGGCGAAGGCGGCAUCCUGGACCAACACUGACACUGAGGAGCGAAAGCCAGGGGAGCAAACGGG